rfam:Arabis alpina cultivar Pajares Aa.chr3_contig_1028, whole genome shotgun sequence.
UGCAGUGAUGAUGGGUAUAUAAAUCUCGUUAAUCUGAAAUUUUUUUAAUGAAGAGAAAUACUUCCCAACCAUUCAUAAUUAUCUGAGC